AUACGUAGGUGACAAGCGUUAUCCGGAUUUACUGGGCGUAAAGGGCGUGUAGGCGGUCUUGCAAGUCAGAAGUGAAAUUCCUGAGCUCAACUCGGGCGCUGCUUCUGAAACUGCAGGACUUGAGUGCUGGAGGGGAUAGCGGAAUUCCUAGUGGAGCGGUAAAAUGCGCAGAUAUUAGGAAGAACACCGGUGGCGAAGGCGGCUAUCUGGACAGUAACUGACGCUGAGCAGCGAAAGCAUGGGGAGCAAACAGGAUGAGAGUCCCGGGUAGCCCACGCCGUAAACGAUGAAUACUAGGUGUAGGGGGUAUCGACUCCCUCUGUGCAUUUUACCGUUCCACUAGGAAUUCCGCUAU
rnacentral:rRNA from 1 species